rnacentral:rRNA from 1 species
UACAGAGGUCUCAAGCGUUGUUCGGAUUCAUUGGGCGUAAAGGGUGCGUAGGCGGCGCGGUAAGUCGGGUGUGAAAUCUCGGAGCUUGACUCCGAAACUGCAUUCGAUACUGCCGUGCUUGAGGACUGGAGAGGAGACUGGAAUUUACGGUGUAGCGGUGAAAUGCGUAGAUAUCGUAAGGAAGACCAGUGGCGAAGGCGGGUCUCUGGACAGUUCCUGACGCUGAGGCACGAAGGCCAGGGGAGCAAACGGG